rnacentral:rRNA from 1 species
GAUGAACGCUGGCGGCAUGCCUAAUACAUGCAAGUCGAGCGAACGGACGCGAAGCUUGCUGCUCUGCUGUUAGCGGCGGAGGGGGGAGUAACACGUGGAUAACCUAUCUAUGCGACUGGGAUAACUUCGUGAAACCGUAUCUCACACCGUAUAAUAUUUUGAACCUCAUGGUUCACAAGUGUAAGACUGUCUUGCUGUCACUUAUAGAUGGAACCACGCUGCCUUUGCUAGGUUGUAAUGUAACGGCAUACCGAGGCAAUGAUGCAUAGCCGCUCUGAAAGGGUGGUCGGCCACACUGGAAGUGAGACACGGCCGAGACUCCUGCGGUAGGCAGCAGUAGGGAAUCUUACGCAAGGGACGAAAGCCUGACGGAGCAACGCCGGGGGAGUGAUGAAGGUCUUCGGAUCGUAAAACUAUGAUAGUAGUAAAGAACAUAAGCGUAUGUAACCGUGAAGAUAAUGACGGUACCUAAUCAGAAAGCCCCGGCUAACUACGUG